rnacentral:lncRNA from 1 species
CGGAAUCUGAUCUGCUGUCGGCCACUGCCCAGGCCACAGUCUGCCAAAGGGACAGCUGAACGAAAGGCUCAACUUCCUCCUUCAUCAGCUCCAAGUUCCAGGACAAGAGGCAGAACCAGGUGCCACCGAGCCUGCCACAGGUUUCUGCUUCUUGCCAAGUGUCUAUCUCUUACUCUACCGACCAUCACCAUUGACGUGUGUGAGGGGACAUCUGGAAGCACAGUCCUCUAAGAAGGGGGAAAUUUGGACACAGACAUACACAGAAGGACACCGUGUGAAGAUGAAGAUGGCCACCUGUGAGCCAAGGAAAGAGCCCUGGAAUGAAGCAACGCUGCCUACACCUUGCCUUCAGAUUUCUAGCCUCCGGAGCUGUAGGGAAAUAAAUUCCUGCUGUUUAAGCCCUUCAGUUUGUGGUGCCUC